UCUUCCCUCUGGCGGCGUGCCUAAUACAUGCAAGUCGAGCGAACAGAUGAGGAGCUUGCUCCUCUGACGUUAGCGGCGGACGGGUGAGCAACACGUGGAUAACCUACCUAUAAGACUGGGAUAAAUUCGGGAAACCGGAGCUAAUACCGGAUAAUAUAUUGAACCGCAUGGUUCAAUAGUGAAAGACGGUUUUGCUGUCACUUAUAGAUGGAUCCGCGCCGCAUUAGCUAGUUGGUAAGGUAACGGCUUACCAAGGCAACGAUGCGUAGCCGACCUGAGAGGGUGAUCGGCCACACUGGAACUGAGACACGGUCCAGACUCCUACGGGAGGCAGCAGUAGGGAAUCUUCCGCAAUGGGCGAAAGCCUGACGGAGCAACGCCGCGUGAGUGAUGAAGGUCUUCGGAUCGUAAAACUCUGUUAUUAGGGAAGAACAAAUGUGUAAGUAACUAUGCACGUCUUGACGGUACCUAAUCAGAAAGCCACGGCUAACUACGUG
rnacentral:rRNA from 1 species